AUUGAACGCUGGCGGCAUGCCUUACACAUGCAAGUCGAACGGUAACGGGCCUUCGGGUGCCGACGAGUGGCGAACGGGUGAGUAAUACAUCGGAACGUGCCCGAUCGUGGGGGAUAACGAGGCGAAAGCUUUGCUAAUACCGCAUACGAUCUACGGAUGAAAGCAGGGGACCGCAAGGCCUUGCGCGGACGGAGCGGCCGAUGGCAGAUUAGGUAGUUGGUGGGAUAAAGGCUUACCAAGCCGACGAUCUGUAGCUGGUCUGAGAGGAUGAUCAGCCACACUGGGACUGAGACACGGCCCAGACUCCUACGGGAGGCAGCAGUGGGGAAUUUUGGACAAUGGGCGCAAGCCUGAUCCAGCCAUGCCGCGUGCAGGAUGAAGGCCUUCGGGUUGUAAACUGCUUUUGUACGGAACGAAAAGCCUUCUUUUAAUACAGGAGGGUCAUGACGGUACCGGAAGAAUAAGCACCGGCUAACUACGUG
rnacentral:rRNA from 1 species